rnacentral:rRNA from 1 species
ACGGCUCAGUUAACACGUGGACAACCUACCCAAGAGUCAGGGAUAACCCCGGGAAACUGGGGAUAAUACCUGAUAGGCCAUGACAUCUGGAAUCGAGUUGUGGUUUAAACGUAAGGCUCUUGGAUGGGUCUGCGGCGGAUUAGGUUGUUGCCGGUGUAACGUACCAGCAAGCCUGUAAUCCGUACGGGUUGUGGGAGCAAGAGCCCGGAGAUGGAUUCUGAGACACGAAUCCAGGCCCUACGGGGCGCAGCAGGCGCGAAAACUCUACAAUGCAGGCAACUGCGAUAGGGGAACAUCGAGUGGCACCCACCAUGGGUGUCUGUCCAAUCGUCUAAAAAACGAUUGUCAGCAAGGGCCGGGCAAGACCGGUGCCAGCCGCCGCGGUAAUACCGGCGGCUCGAGUGGUGGCCGAUAUUAUUGAGUCUAAAGGGUCCGUAGCCGGCUUUGCAAGUCCUAUGGGAAAUCCAGCGGCUUAACCGUUGGGCUUUCAUGGGAUACUACAUUGCUUGGGACUGGGAGAGGUAGGAGGUACUCAGGGGGUAGGGGUGAAAUCCUGUAAUCCUUUGGGGACCACCGGUGGCGAAGGCGUCCUACCAGAACAGGUCCGACGGUGAGGGACGAAAGCUAGGGGCACGAACCGGAUUAGAUACCCGGGUAGUCCUAGCCGUAAACGAUGCUCGCUAGGUGUCACGGCAGUCGUGAAUUGUCGUGGUGCCGUAGGGAAGCCGUGAAGCGAGCCACUUGGGAAGUACGACCGCAAGGUUGAAACUUAAAGGAAUUGGCGGGGGAGCAC